UGCGACUUCAAUCCCUGCGACUGCUUUGUUCGGUGUGACCGACGGACGCGAUUCAUAGUUUUGAAGAACACCUUCUUCAAAUGUUUCCGCACGUCAGUGAGUAGCAGCGCCGCAAUCCUUUGCCGACGACGCGUUCUGUGGCCCUGGAAAAUGCCUUGACGCUCGGGGACGGCCGGUAGCUCAGCGAUUCCUCGCUUGGCGCACCAUUGAAAACCGGCGGUCAUCCAGCAGUGUACGCUGCCAGCGUAUUUUUUAUUGCCAGAGGUAGCAAACAGCAGUGCCACAACAAACAGUGGAGUGCUGACCAUGCAGUCCAGAAGGUGGCUGAGGCAAGUAUGCUAUAGGAGGUGCUUAUUCAGGCAGAAGAAAUAAGCAUCUGUAGCCAACGUAAAGGAAGCAUCUUCAAAAAGCAGUGCUACAAGGAUGUGAGCAGCAGUUUCCCUUCAACGAACGGGUCAAAUUCAUGGAAGCCACGUGCCUGCUGCUUCUGGCCUACACAAACAUGCAGCCACCAUAGUAAAGUUCUUGCA